UCGCCCUUAGAGUUUGAUCCUGGCUCAGGAUGAACGCUAGCUACAGGCUUAACACAUGCAAGUCGAGGGGCAGCAUGAACUUAGCUUGCUAAGUUUGAUGGCGACCGGCGCACGGGUGAGUAACACGUAUCCAACCUUCCGUUUACUCAGGGAUAGCCUUUCGAAAGAAAGAUUAAUACCUGAUAGUAUGGUGAGAUUGCAUGAUAACACCAUUAAAGAUUUAUUGGUAAACGAUGGGGAUGCGUUCCAUUAGGUAGUAGGCGGGGUAACGGCCCACCUAGCCAACGAUGGAUAGGGGUUCUGAGAGGAAGGUCCCCCACAUUGGAACUGAGACACGGUCCAAACUCCUACGGGAGGCAGCAGUGAGGAAUAUUGGUCAAUGGACGAGAGUCUGAACCAGCCAAGUAGCGUGAAGGAUGAAGGUCCUACGGAUUGUAAACUUCUUCUAUAAGGGAAUAAACCCUCCCACGUGUGGGAGCUUGUAUGUACCUUAUGAAUAAGCAUCGGCUAACUCCGUGCCAGCAGCCGCGGUAAUACGGAGGAUGCGAGCGUUAUCCGGAUUUAUUGGGUUUAAAGGGAGCGCAGACGGGUCGUUAAGUCAGCUGUGAAAGUUUGGGGCUCAACCUUAAAAUUGCAGUUGAUACUGGCGUCCUUGAGUGCGGUUGAGGUGUGCGGAAUUCGUGGUGUAGCGGUGAAAUGCUUAGAUAUCACGAAGAACUCCGAUUGCGAAGGCAGCACACUAAUCCGUAACUGACGUUCAUGCUCGAAAGUGUGGGUAUCAAACAGGAUUAGAUACCCUGGUAGUCCACACGGUAAACGAUGGAUACUCGCUGUUGGCGAUAUACUGUCAGCGGCUUAGCGAAAGCGUUAAGUAUCCCACCUGGGGAGUACGCCGGCAACGGUGAAACUCAAAGGAAUUGACGG
rnacentral:rRNA from 1 species